rnacentral:sRNA from 1 species
UUCCUCUUGUCUGAGAAACCAUUCCUCUUCCUGCAAGCUCUCUCCUCCUCCUAUGUCUUCUCCCUUUCCAUUCUUCACACUGAACCAUUAAAUUCUCGAUUAGGUGCUGCCCCAACGAUCACAAAGUAGCGGGUAUUGCUCUUAGUCGAUCAAUUUUCUCUAAUCUGAACCGGUGAUUCUAACAUUUUGAAAGUGCAAGCAAGUGGUCUAGGGUUCCUACUUGAGCUGGGUUGUCUACACUAGAGUAGGUGAUGAUGUACCUUUGGAGCAAGC